rnacentral:rRNA from 1 species
GACGAACGCUGGCGGCGUGCUUAACACAUGCAAGUCGAACGAAGAGCGAUGGAAGCUUGCUUCUAUCAAUCUUAGUGGCGAACGGGUGAGUAACGCGUAAUCAACCUGCCCUUCAGAGGGGGACAACAGUUGGAAACGACUGCUAAUACCGCAUACGAUCUAAUCUCGGCAUCGAGGAAAGAUGAAAGGUGGCCUCUAUUUAUAAGCUAUCACUGAAGGAGGGGAUUGCGGCUGAUUAGCUAGUUGGAGGGGUAACGGACCACCAAGGCGAUGAUCAGUAGCCGGUCUGAGAGGAUGAACGGCCACAUUGGGACUGAGACACGGCCCAGACUCCUACGGGAGGCAGCAGUGGGGAAUCUUCCGCAAGGGACGAAAGUCUGACGGAGCAACGCCGCGGGAGUGAUGACGGCCUUCGGGUUGUAAAGCUCUGUUAAUCGGGACGAAAGGCCUUCUUGCGAACAGUUAGAAGGAUUGACGGUACCGGAAUAGAAAGCCACGGCUAACUACGUG